CAGUCGCCGCGGGAAUACGUAGGGUGCGAGCGUUAAUCGGAAUUACUGGGCGUAAAGCGUGCGCAGGCGGUUCGUUAAGACAGAUGUGAAAUCCCCGGGCUCAACCUGGGAACUGCAUUUGUGACUGUAUAGCUAGAGUACGGCAGAGGGGGAUGGAAUUCCGCGUGUAGCAGUGAAAUGCGUAGAUAUGCGGAGGAACACCGAUGGCGAAGGCAAUCCCCUGGGCCUGUACUGACGCUCAUGCACGAAAGCGUGGGGAGCAAACAGGAUUAGAUACCCCAGUAGUCCCUGUCUCUUAUAC
rnacentral:rRNA from 1 species